AGAUGUGAGGGCAAUCUGGCUGCAACAUCUGUUACCCCAUUAGUCGCCAGAGUUGAUUCGGCUGAUCUGGCUGGCUAGGCGGGUGUCCCCUUCCUCACCGCUCCAUGUGAGUCCCUCCCGAAGUUGCGCGCUCUGUUGAAGAAGACGGCCUUCCCCGAAUGGCCUUCCCUGAAUAGAGACAGAUUGCUCUUUGGUUGAGGGUAUAGGAGUAGCUAAGCUCCCCUGCUAGAACCUCCAAACAAGCUCUCAAUUCCCAUUAUCAAAGUUAAAGUCCUCUGAUAGAAUGCCACAACAGGAAAUUGAAUUCUAAAACCAUGGAUUCAUCACCCUUGUCUGGAGGCCUGACUUCAAG
rnacentral:snRNA from 1 species